UAAUGAUAUUAAGUUUAGUCAUAUUAAUAUAAUGUACAUAUACAUCAUAUAGACUAUAGUUUUGCGGGAACUUGUAGAAGGCGGCUCAAAGAUAAAGUCCGCCUUUGAACAGUUGUUCAUGGUGCAUGUUUAAAAUGAAAUGAUUAAGAGCCAUUGGGUCGACUAGAAUCUAAUAGUGAAAACGCCAGAUAUCGUGCUCUGAUCUCCAUGGUCGCCAAUGAUCGCCAAAUCACAGCGUUUGUUUUGAGCAUGUUAAAAACCAACGCCAAGGUUCUGACAGUAAGGACGCCAUCCCGAUCUGACUGGGGCAUAAUACAGGUUUAUCAAUCGGAACAAAAGCGGCUUUCCCGUAUAAAUCAUACAGGGAAGGGAGAGUGGCCAUUGAUGGACUACCGAAAGACUUAGCACCGUUAAAACCGCCAUCCCAGUAUGGUUUAAAAAAACUAAAAACUAUUUGAUCUCUUAAUGCCUUGAAUGUAAGAAUUACAAUUGAUGACUUACAAACCGCUACCGUCACAGUUUCCACCUUAUUUGGAGUGAGUAGUAAUCCGUUACUUAGAUACUGUCCUAACAUCUUGUUUGACCUUUAGUCACUUUUUCUUACAUCUCCAUCUUGGAUGCAUCAUUUUCUGAAUUCACUAACUCAGUGUUUCGCUCUUUUCAUAUGAUAUAUGGUUUCCACAAUAUUAGUUUUCUAUUUCCUCGAAUAAUAAGAGCACCCUUAUCAGGUGCCCGUCUUCAUUAGCCCAGUAUAGGAGCAGAACAGUAGGACGUUAAAACCCAUUUCAUUUCAUUUCAUUUAUUUCAGUGCUCUUCUACUUGCUCUAUUGUAAAUAAUUUCCUGUUUUGUUCCUGUGUGUAUUGUAAAUAAACUGUAUAGCUGUGUUCUUGUUUUGUCUCGUUUGGCUCAACCCACAACCUGGAAAGGUGGAUAGUCCGUCGUCCAUUGAUCCCGCUACAAGUGGAUCCUCUGCAUCAAGCCAAGACACGCCAGUGAAAUCAAGGGCGAAAUUAAAUACUUCAAGUACAGAGAAAAUAAUCAUUUUAGGUACGUCAGAUAGUAUAUUUGUUAAUCAUCAACAACUUAAUGAAAUUGUUUCCAAAGCAGUGCAAGAGGCUGUCGAGAAAAUUGAAACCAAUCUAAAUAAACUUAUAGGCGAGAGGUUUGAUGAACUGGGUGACAGAGUGGCAAAUAUUGAGCUUGCAAAUGAAACUGUAAGUCUGGAAUUUGAUCAUUUUGACGAUAGAAUAAAAAACACCGAGGCUUUGUUAAAAGUCAACGAUUCUGAAAUAAAAAACUUACAAUUAAAACUAAAUCAUCUUGAACAAUAUAGUCGAAAAUCUCAUUUGAGAAUUUUUGGUAUAGAAGAACAUGAGGGUGAAAACUGUGUGUCUGUCGUAACUAGACUAUUUAAAGAUAAACUGGAUAUUCAAUCUGAAAUCAUUAUCGAUGCCGCACAUAGGGUUGGUUCCUCAUACAACGGGGGGUUGGAUGGCUGAAUGGUUAGCGUGCGCGCGCUGUAUCAUAAAGUAUGUCAUUGAGUCGACUGGCGUGGUUUCGAAUCCCCGGUUGUACGUGACAAGGAGUAGGGUCGCCUGUCCAACCUCGUGGGUUUUCUCCGGGUCCUCCGGUUUCCUCCCACUGCUAAAGACCCCUAUGCGCAAGCGAAUUAUUGAAAUAAAAUAAAACCAUAUUAUGUUAGUCCCGAAAUGACCUAGUUUGUGUCGAGUGGACGUUAAACCCCAUUUCUCUCUCUCUCUCUCUCCUCAUACAACACUUCUUUCAUGGGUGAGACCAGGCAGAAACCGAGAGAGGCAUAAUUGUUAGGCUGCUAAGAAGCACUGAUAAAAGCAAAGUCAUCAUAGCACGGAAAAAAUUUAAAAAUUCUUUAAUAGCAUUGUAGAUGAUAUGACUAAAACAAAUAUUCGUCUGCUAGAAGAGGCCAAACGACAUCACAGUGUGAAAAGUGCAUGGCUAACAAAUGGAAAAUUGUUUGUAGAAACAAUUAACAAUAUAAAAUGUAGAAUUGAAGAUGUAUCUGACAUAGAUAAGAAAAUUAAACCUUAAAUUAUGUUUUAAAAAUAUUGUGAUAAUAACUUUAGUUUCCUGAUUCAGUUGU